CCUACGGGAGGCAGCAGUGGGGAAUAUUGGGCAAUGGACGCAAGUCUGACCCAGCAACGCCGCGUGAAGGAAGAAGGCUUUCGGGUUGUAAACUUCUUUUAAAGGGGAAGAACAGAAGACGGUACCCCUUGAAUAAGCCACGGCUAACUACUGGCCAUCAGCCGCGGUAAUACGGAGGUGGCCGGCGUUGUCCGUAUGUAGUGGGUGUAAAGGGGGUGCAGCCGGGGAGACAAUUCAGUUGUUAAAUCGACGGGGUCAACCCGUGAACUGCAGUUGAAACUGUUUCCCUUGAGUGUAGGAGAGGUAAUCGGAAUUCCUGGUGUAGCGGUGAAAUGCGUAGAUAUAAGGAAGAACACCAGUGGCGAAGGCGGAUUACUGGACUAUAACUGACGGUGAGGCGCGAAAGCGUGGGGAGCAAACAGGAUUAGAUACCCGAGUAGUC
rnacentral:rRNA from 1 species